CUGCCAUGUUGGAACAGUGGAUUUGUUGUAGCCACAUGAUUGCAUAUGGAGAAAGAUUUUUCGCACGUUUUCUUAAGGGAACGAGGUCGUUCGCUAUGGUAUCGGUGGUGAUACUUUAUUGUGCAUAAUCGUCGCAAUCGUACGUAAGCAUAGCUGCUAAAAAGGCAAAUGACUAUAAUAUAAGGCGAAAAACUAGUUUACAUCAUAGUUGGACGCGUUGGCACCAUAUGCCUAUCAACCUUCCAAUGUGUAUAGCAGCUUUUCCUACGGUCCAAAGUCACUUGAGGUGUUUUUGAAAGACCAUCUUCUGAAGUUUAAAGGAAUGUUAUUUGGAACUAUAUCUCAUUCGUCGUGUACCAACAUAAUCUUGUUUAGUUCAAAUCAUUUUUAAUGUGGAAAUAAAAACGGCUGCAAACUCCUGAAAACUUAUUUGUUUGGAAAACAUUGGA